rnacentral:rRNA from 1 species
CCUACGGGUGGCUGCAGUGAGGAAUAUUGGUCAAUGGCCGAGAGGCUGAACCAGCCAAGUCGCGUGAGGGAAGAAUGUCCUAUGGAUUGUAAACCUCUUUUGUCAGGGAGCAAAGUCACCCACGUGUGGGUGUUGGAGAGUACCUGAAGAAAAAGCAUCGGCUAACUCCGUGCCAGCAGCCGCGGUAAUACGGAGGAUGCGAGCGUUAUCCGGAUUUAUUGGGUUUAACGGGUGCGGAGGCGGGUUAUCAAGUCAGCGGUAAAAUCGUGGAGCUCAACUCCAUUCAGGCGGUGAAACUUAUGAUCUUUGGGUGGCGAGAAGUAUGCGGAAUGCGUGGUGUAGCGGUGAAAUGCAUAGAUAUCACGCAGAACUCCGAUUGCGAAGGCAGCAUACCGGCGCCCGACUGACGCUGAAGCACGAAAGCGUGGGUAUCGAACAGGAUUAGAUACCCGGGUAGUC